UGCAGGAGGAAAAAGGCAAGAAGAGGGAGACAAUGCCAGGAAACAAAGUUAAUGCUCCUUGAUUAACUUUGUUCGGAGUCAGAGGAAGGCAAGAGGGGGACUGGAGGAGGAAGAGAGGGGAACACAUAGAAGGAAGAAGGAGGGUCGUGGGAAAGCUGGAGCCUAUCCCAGCUAGCUAGCGAAAGGUGGACUCCACCCGGAACUACACCCUGAAGGCAGGCACACUCCAGCUCUGAGCAGCUCCAGAACCACUCGGUCCAGUCCACUGCGCACGGCACGGAUCAGAACCACUGACCCAUCAGGGCCGCACCAUUCUGCAGACUUCCCACCAAUUGCACG